ACUCCUACGGGAGGCAGCAGUGGGGAAUUUUGGACAAUGGGCGAAAGCCUGAUCCAGCAAUGCCGCGUGAGUGAAGAAGGCCUUCGGGUUGUAAAGCUCUUUUGUCAGGGAAGAAACGGUGAAAGCUAAUAUCUUUUGCUAAUGACGGUACCUGAAGAAUAAGCACCGGCUAACUACGUGCCAGCAGCCGCGGUAAUACGUAGGGUGCAAGCGUUAAUCGGAAUUACUGGGCGUAAAGCGUGCGCAGGCGGUUUUGUAAGUCUGAUGUGAAAUCCCCGGGCUCAACCUGGGAAUUGCAUUGGAGACUGCAAGGCUAGAAUCUGGCAGAGGGGGGUAGAAUUCCACGUGUAGCAGUGAAAUGCGUAGAUAUGUGGAGGAACACCGAUGGCGAAGGCAGCCCCCUGGGUCAAGAUUGACGCUCAUGCACGAAAGCGUGGGGAGCAAACAGGAUUAGAAACCCCAGUAGUCCCAUG
rnacentral:rRNA from 1 species